ACGAAAAAAUGAAACUUUGAUAGCCUGUAGAGUUUCGGGCGCUGAGUCGAAUGGUCUUGGUCCGAAGUCUCUACGACGAAGCGUUCUUGAGAUAUUUCACUUUGAAAUUGCAAAAACGGGGGCCGCGCCCUGACGUCAUGCGGCCAUUUGGUUACAUCAUCACGGGCUGCCUACGUCAUUGUGGCAAAGUCGUUUCUCUUCGCCAGUCUACAAGCACUAAUUUUAGUUGGUAUUUCAAGGGAAGAUGGGCGAUUCCGAACAAUCCUCUGUCCCCAGCAAUGAAGGCAGCGAUGCUGAGGCCAGUGAGGACGACCAACAGCCCACCGCCGCGUAUGGUUGGGGCAGGGAGCCCAGAUACUCUGCUGAGGAGCUGCCAUCGCGUGUAACAAAUGUGGAGGAAGAAGAUGCGUCAGCAGCUGCGUCCGACAGAAGACGAGUAGCUUGGCCACCAGAAUCUCGAUUCGUUUGGGACUCCGACUGGUGCGAGCGUGGACAAAAGUGUAUAGCCAUGCCCAGCCGGCGGGAAUGAUUUUGCUGGUAGGAUGCUGCCGUCGCUGUCGACAAGACGGCCCAAGGUUUCUUGCGUAGCGGACCUCGCAGAUUACGAGAUCGUAUCCUUGCAUUAGGCUGUGCUCAUCACUGCUCUUCGAGGUUAUCUCGACAUGCAGAAGCCGCCAAUGCCAGUGACAGAAGAGUCUGACAUUAGAUCUCUACGCUAUGCGGCACACAGGCAGUACACACUAUGUACACGGCAAAUUGGGCAAGCACGUUCGUUGUCGUCUUCCAGCCUGCGUUGUGAAUACCAUCAGGCAAAGAUAUCCAAAUCCUGCACCACCUCAGCCUUCUCAGGAGGCUUCCACCUGGAAUUUGGCAGGGAAACACGCUUCUCCAAGACAGGAACAUGGAGGUUGCCAUUUGCAACCGCUACCACCUCACACAUGAGCUUGUCAACAUACUCAUAGCUCUUUCUGUCGUAUAAUUUUCUAUUUGGCCACAGUCUUCUUUAUGCUUUGAGAACUGGACUUUAUACCUUCC